GAUCAUGGCUCAGGAUGAACGCUGGCGGCGCGCCUAACACAUGCAAGUCGAACGGACGAUGAAAAGCUUGCUUUUCAAAGUUAGUGGCGGACGGGUGAGUAACGCGUAUCCAACCUGCCCACCACUUGGGGAUAACCUUGCGAAAGUAAGACUAAUACCCAAUGAUAUCUCUAGAAGACAUCUGAAAGAGAUUAAAGAUUUAUCGGUGUACGAUGGGGAUGCGUUCCAUUAGGUAGUAGGCGGGGUAACGG
rnacentral:rRNA from 1 species